AAUGGAAAGAGCCCAAACCAAGAAGCUUGCUUCUUGGGGUUGUAGGACACUCUAUACGGAGUUACAAAAGAAAGUUAUAAAUGAAGCGGUCUGGAAAGGCCCGCCAAAGACGGUAACAGCCCGGUAGUUGAAAUGGCUUUCCCUCCAGAGUGGAUCCUGAGUACGGCGGAACACGUGAAAUUCCGUCGGAAUCCGGGAGGACCAUCUCCCAAGGCUAAAUACUCCCUAGUGACCGAUAGUGAACCAGUACCGUGAGGGAAAGGUGAAAAGCACCCCGGAAGGGGAGUGAAACAGUUCCUGAAACCGUGUGCCUACAAGUAGUUAGAGCCCGUUAAUGGGUGAUAGCGUGCCUUUUGUAGAAUGAACCGGCGAGUUACGAUUUGUUGCAAGGUUAAGCGGAAAAAGCGGAGCCGUAGCGAAAGCGAGUCUGAAUAGGGCGCAUAAGUAACAGGUCGUAGACCCGAAACCAGGUGAUCUACCCAUGUCCAGGAUGAAGGUAAGGUAAUACUUACUGGAGGUCCGAACCCACGCACGUUGAAAAGUGCGGGGAUGAGGUGUGGGUAGCGGAGAAAUUCCAAUCGAACUUGGAGAUAGCUGGUUCUCUCCGAAAUAGCUUUAGGGCUAGCCUCGAGGUAAAGAGUCAUGGAGGUAGAGCACUGUUUGGACUAGGGGCCCUUCUCGGGUUACCGAAUUCAGAUAAACUCCGAAUGCCAUGUACUUAUACUCGGGAGUCAGACUGCGAGUGAUAAGAUCCGUAGUCGAAAGGGAAACAGCCCAGACCACCAGUUAAGGUCCCCAAAUAUAUGUUAAGUGGAAAAGGAUGUGGGGUUGCUUAGACAACCAGGAUGUUGGCUUAGAAGCAGCCACCAUUGAAAGAGUGCGUAAUAGCUCACUGGUCGAGUGACCCCGCGCCGAAAAUGUACCGGGGCUAAACAUAUUACCGAAACUGUGGAUGAACCUCUUUAGAGGUUCGUGGUAGGAGAGCGUUCUAAGGGCGGUGAAGUCAGACCGGAAGGACUGGUGGAGCGCUUAGAAGUGAGAAUGCCGGUAUGAGUAGCGAAAGAAGGGUGAGAAUCCCUUCCACCGAAUAUCUAAGGUUUCCUGAGGAAGGCUCGUCCGCUCAGGGUUAGUCGGGACCUAAGCCGAGGCCGAUAGGCGUAGGCGAUGGACAACAGGUAGAGAUUCCUGUACCAGUGCUAAUUGUUUAACCGAUGGGGUGACACAGAAGGAUAGGGAAUCGCACGAAUGGAAAUGUGCGUCCAAGCAGUGAGUGUGAGAAGUAGGCAAAUCCGCUUCUCGCGAAGCAUGAGCUGUGAUGGGGAAGGAAAUUAAGUACGGAAGUUCCUGAUUUCACGCUGUCAAGAAAAGCCUCUAGGAAGAGUAGUACUGCCCGUACCGCAAACCGACACAGGUAGAUGAGGAGAGAAUCCUAAGGUGAGCGAGAGAACUCUCGUUAAGGAACUCGGCAAAAUGACCCCGUAACUUCGGGAGAAGGGGUGCUCUAUUAGGGUGCAAGCCCGAGAGAGCCGCAGUGAAUAGGCCCAGGCGACUGUUUAGCAAAAACACAGGUCUCUGCAAAACCGUAAGGUGACGUAUAGGGGCUGACGCCUGCCCGGUGCUGGAAGGUUAAGAGGAGUGCUUAGCUUCGGCGAAGGUACGAAUUGAAGCCCCAGUAAACGGCGGCCGUAACUAUAACGGUCCUAAGGUAGCGAAAUUCCUUGUCGGGUAAGUUCCGACCCGCACGAAAGGCGCAACGAUCUGGGCACUGUCUCAACGAGAGACUCGGUGAAAUUAUAGUACCUGUGAAGAUGCAGGUUACCCGCGACAGGACGGAAAGACCCCGUGGAGCUUUACUGCAACCUGAUAUGGAAUGUUUGUACCGCUUGUACAGGAUAGGUAGGAGCCGAAGAGACGUGUGCGCUAGCAUACGAGGAGGCAAUGGUGGGAUACUACCCUGGCUGUAUGACCAUUCUAACCCGCCACGCUUAGCGCGUGGGGAGACAGUGUCAGGUGGGCAGUUUGACUGGGGCGGUCGCCUCCUAAAGAGUAACGGAGGCGCCCAAAGGUUCCCUCAGAAUGGAUGGAAAUCAUUCGCAGAGUGUAAAGGCACAAGGGAGCUUGACUGCGA
rnacentral:rRNA from 1 species